rnacentral:lncRNA from 1 species
ACUGACAAGAUAAAAUAGGUGCUGAUUGUGAGGCUAACCGAAGACUCAAUUAUCACUUAAAAUUGGUGAUUUAUAUAUACACCAAUCAAAAAUUUUAAUUUGAAAAAAGAGCUACCUGCCUAAAAUAAAAGCGCAAAACACAGAAUAUAUGUGGAUUGCCCUAAGCUUAGUAAUCGGAUCUCUGCACCUAAGUCAAGUGUGGAAGUUCGCAUCAAAUAGUGAAGGAAAGGCCAA